CCUACGGGAGGCAGCAGUAGGGAAUAUUGCUCAAUGGGGGAAACCCUGAAGCAGCAACGCCGCGUGGAGGAUGAAUGUUUUAGGAUUGUAAACUCCUUUUGUUAGAGAAGAUUAUGACGGUAUCUAACGAAUAAGCACCGGCUAACUCCGUGCCAGCAGCCGCGGUAAUACGGAGGGUGCAAGCGUUACUCGGAAUCACUGGGCGUAAAGAGUGCGUAGGCGGGGUAAUAAGUCAGAUGUGAAAUCCUGUAGCUUAACUACAGAACUGCAUUUGAAACUGUUACUCUGGAGUGUGGGAGAGGUAGGUGGAAUUCUUGGUGUAGGGGUAAAAUGCGUAGAGAUCAAGAGGAAUACUCAUUGCGAAGGCGACCUGCUGGAACAUUACUGACGCUGAUGCACGAAAGCGUGGGGAGCAAACAGGAUUAGAUACUCGGGUAGUC
rnacentral:rRNA from 1 species